GACGAACGCUGGCGGCGUGCUUAACACAUGCAAGUCGAACGGAAAGGCCCUGCUUUUGUGGGGUGCUCGAGUGGCGAACGGGUGAGUAACACGUGAGUAACCUGCCCUUGACUUUGGGAUAACUUCAGGAAACUGGGGCUAAUACCGGAUAGGAGCUCCUGCUGCAUGGUGGGGGUUGGAAAGUUUCGGCGGUUGGGGAUGGACUCGCGGCUUAUCAGCUUGUUGGUGGGGUAGUGUCUUACCAAGGCUUUGACGGGUAGCCGGCCUGAGAGGGUGACCGGCCACAUUGGGACUGAGAUACGGCCCAGACUCCUACGGGAGGAAGCAGUGGGGAAUAUUGCACAAUGGGCGGAAGCCUGAUGCAGCAACGCCGCGUGCGGGAUGACGGCCUUCGGGUUGUAAACCGCUUUCGCCUGUGACGAAGCGUGAGUGACGGUAAUGGGGAAAGAAGCACCGGCUAACUACGU
rnacentral:rRNA from 1 species